UAAUACGAAGGGACCUAGCGUAGUUCGGAAUUACUGGGCUUAAAGAGCACGUAGGUGGUUAAGAAAGUUGGUGGUGAAAUCCCAAGGCUUAACCUUGGAACUGCCACCAAAACUUUUUAACUAGAGUAUGAUUGAGGUAAGCGGAAUUUCUAGUGUAGAGGUGAAAUUCGUAGAUAUUAGAAAGAACACCAAUUGCGAAGGCAGCUUUCUGGAUCAUUACUGACACUGAGGUGCGAAAGCAUGGGUAGCGAAGAGGAUUAGAUACCCUCGUAGUCCAUGCCGUAAACGAUGUGUGCUAGACGUUGGAAAUUUAUUUUUCAGUGUCGCAGCGAAAGCGUUAAGCACACCGCCUGGGGAGUACGACCGCAAGGUUA
rnacentral:rRNA from 1 species